AUGUCGGUGGUAAAAGAACUUAAGUUGUCAUAUGUACUUUUAUUACGCCGAAAACCAUAUUGAGAUGAAGAAAGCAGGCAGUUACUUUCAACGAACCACUCCAGGCGGUUUUUGACUAAAUGUUCAAUUAUUUUUAGAAGAACAGACGAGAGGGCUAUUGGACGAUAUGAAGAUGAGAGGGAAGGAUCUUUGUUUGGUUUCAAAAUGGGUAACACUAGUUGACAUUUCCACUCUGAUGGAAUAUUGCCAGAUUCAAAAAUUGAGUUAAUGAUUCUAAGAUAAACUGAUAAACUGUUUUCGUUUAGAUGAGAAAUAAAUGAAUAAUAAAUACCAUCAGGCCCAGGAGAGGAAUCCGAUACAUACGAAAGUACAUUUUUUAAUUCGGCCAUGGUAAAGGAGGAAUUUAAUUCUGAAGACUCUUCAUUUUCAUCUAUUGUACUAUUGUUAUGAAAUAGGUUAGGAAGAUUGACUGUAGGAGGAGCAAGCUUGUCAAGAAAAUCAUUUGCAAUAGAACUAGGAAGAGAAACAGAAUGAGAAGUAUUGUAUGCAGAUUUGAACCUCCUAAUAUUUUGCCAAACAACAGUUGGAGGAGAAUUCGGGGACAGAGAGGAGCAAAAUUUUUGCCAACUUUCAGAUUUUUUCUUUUUGAAAACCUUCUUUCUCCUUUUUACAGCUUCCGUACACUCUUUAUCCCACCACGGUGGGCUGGGAAUGGAAGAUGAUUCAUUUUUUAUUGGAAAAACUUCAUUAGCACUUUCUAUCAAGACAUCUGUAAAAACGAGAGCAUCAAUAGAGUCAUCUUCAUUUGGAAAUAUCUGUGACAGUUUUACAUCAACUUUACUACUGAAUUUCUUCCAACAUUUAUCGGUGACAUUAUUAAGGUUAUACCUGGGAAAUAAUCUGACAUUUUGAAUAGGAGCCUGAGAAUUAUCAAAAGGAGAGGUAGUUAAUAUGGGGAAGUGAUCGCUUCCAAAAGUGGAUGAUAGAACCGAAGAUGUUAAUUGUGUUACAAACUGUGAGGAGCAAAUAGUCAAAUCAACAACGCUUUUGCCUUCUGUUGGACUAGUGCGCCUUGUGGGCUCACCAGAAUUUAUAACACAUAGAUUAUUCAGAUCUAAAACACUUAGCAGCUUGUUACCAUAACUAUUAGUAAUGGAGCUUCCCCAUGACUGGUGAUGACAAUUAAAGUCACCUGUUAUAAUUAAAGGUCUUGGUAAAGAGCUUAAAAUGUUAUUAAAUUCAUUUAAAAUAUUAAUAGAGGCAUGGGAAAUAUAUACAGAGACAAAACAUAUAUUAUUUACACUAAUUGCUAUAAUAGAUAGCUCUGAACUAUGUACAGGGAUAUCAAUAAGGCUAAAAGGGUAGUUUUUCUCAAGGAGAAAGGCUACACCACCAUAGCCGUCUAACCUAUCUUCUCUAAUUGUAUUAUAAUUCUUAAAUCUAAAAGUAUUACUUGGCCUAAGCCAAGUUUCUGAGAAAGAAAAUAAAAAAGGAUUAUAAUUUCUUAAUAAAUAAGCUAUGUCACUUUUUUUAUUAACUACACUUCGAGCGUUCCACUGAAUGAUCUGGGCCAUAUUGUAGAAUAUUAAUUAUACAUUGAAUUAAAGGGGCAACGAUGGACGGUAUAUUAUCGUUCUGUGAGUGGGUUUGUAAUAAUGAUAUUACAUCUGUAAGUGAAGAAAGUUCAUUCUUGUAAUUGUUUAUUAUACCUUUAUUGUAUUCAUGUACUGGUGUUGUGUUUUUUUCUAAAUUAUCAAAAGAAAACUCUUUUACCACAUUGUUAUGGGCAAUUUUAUCAUAACCUUUCAUUGGUCUAUAAGGAGCACGAGGCUUAGCAACUACAGUUUUUUUGUAUGAUCUAUUAUCAGAUGAACUAUUAUUAUUAUUAGUAGAUAAAUUAAAUUUAGGAGUGGAUAGUGUAUCUGAAUAAGAUUUAUAUGAGGAAGGAAUUUCUUUAUUGGCCUCUGCAUAAGAGACACAAUGUUCAGCCAUGUGUAUUUUUAUAGAUUUUUGCCUAUUAAACUCUGGGCAUAUUUUGUUAUUAGCCAUAUGAUGGCCAGAACAUAAGCAACAGAAAUAUUCAUGCUCAUUAACACUACAAGAAUCCAUAUCAUGUUCCUGACCACACUUGAUACACCGUGAUUUUGACCUACACUGAGCUUUGGUAUGUCCAUACCGACAACAUUUGAAGCAUUGUAUAGUGGGAAAGAUGUAGAGCUCAACUGGUAGUGAAUUAUAACAAAUAAAAACUCUUUUUGGCAGAACCCUACCAUCAAAGUAUACAACAACUGACUGAGUCGGUUUCCAUACAGGAGAACCCUCCACCAUUGUUUUAUAAUUUAAGCGUCUGACCUUCACAACUUUACCACUACCGGUAGGUGUAGAAAUGUUAUUUAUUAUUUCCUCAGGUGACCAUUCAACUGGUAUACCCCUCACAAUACCUAUUCUAACGACAUUAAAAGAUGGUAUAAAAG